GCUGGGUGUGGUGGCACACGUCUGUAAUCCCAGCGCCCCUGGAGGCUGAGGCAGGAGGAUCACGAGUACAAAGCCAGCCUCAGCAAAAAAUGAGGCGCUAAGCAACUCAGUGAGAUCCUGUCUCUA
rnacentral:sRNA from 1 species